rnacentral:rRNA from 1 species
GACGAACGCUGGCGGCGUGCUUAACACAUGCAAGUCGAACGGUAAGGCCCUUCGGGGUACACGAGUGGCGAACGGGUGAGUAACACGUGGGUGAUCUGCCCUGCACUUCGGGAUAAGCCUGGGAAACUGGGUCUAAUACCGGAUAGGACCCUGGGAUGCAUGUCCUGGGGUGGAAAGCUUUUGCGGUGUGGGAUGGGCCCGCGGCCUAUCAGCUUGUUGGUGGGGGGAUGGCCUACCAAGGCGACGACGGGUAGCCGGCCUGAGAGGGUGACCGGCCACACUGGGACUGAGAUACGGCGCAGACUCCUGCGGGAGGCAGCAGUGGGGAAUAUUGCACAAUGGGCGCAAGCCUGAUGCAGCGACGCCGCGUGAGGGAUGACGGCCUUCGGGUUGUAAACCUCUUUCAGCACCGACGAAGCGCAAGUGACGGUAGGUGCAGAAGAAGGACCGGCCAACUACGUGCCAGCAGCCGCAGUAA